rnacentral:rRNA from 1 species
AGCAGUAGCCGCGGUAAUACGUAGGUCCCGAGCGUUGUCCGGAUUUAUUGGGCGUAAAGCGAGCGCAGGCGGUUAGAUAAGUCUGAAGUUAAAGGCUGCGGCUUAACCAUAGUACGCUUUGGAAACUGUUUAACUUGAGUGCAAGAGGGGAGAGUGGAAUUCCAUGUGUAGCGGUGAAAUGCGUAGAUAUAUGGAGGAACACCGGUGGCGAAAGCGGCUUUCUGGCUUGUAACUGACGCUGAGGCUCGAAAGCGUGGGGAGCAAACAGGAUUAGAUACCCCCGUAGUCCCUGUCUCUUAUACA